AUUGAACGCUAGCGGGAUGCUUUACACAUGCAAGUCGAACGGCAGCGCGGACUUCGGUCUGGCGGCGAGUGGCGAACGGGUGAGUAAUGUAUCGGAACGUGCCCAGUAGCGGGGGAUAACUACGCGAAAGCGUAGCUAAUACCGCAUACGCCCUACGGGGGAAAGCAGGGGAUCGUAAGACCUUGCACUAUUGGAGCGGCCGAUAUCGGAUUAGCUAGUUGGUGAGGUAACGGCUCACCAAGGCGACGAUCCGUAGCUGGUUUGAGAGGACGACCAGCCACACUGGGACUGAGACACGGCCCAGACUCCUACGGGAGGCAGCAGUGGGGAAUUUUGGACAAUGGGGGCAACCCUGAUCCAGCCAUCCCGCGUGUGCGAUGAAGGCCUUCGGGUUGUAAAGCACUUUUGGCAGGAAAGAAACGUCGCGGGCUAAUACCCAGUGGAACUGACGGUACCUGCAGAAUAAGCACCGGCUAACUACGUG
rnacentral:rRNA from 1 species